GCGUGCUAAUCUGCGAUAAGCGCCGGUAAGGUGAUAUGAACCGUUAUAACCGGCGAUACCCGAAUGGGGAAACCCAGUGUGAUUCGUCACACUAUCAUUAACUGAAUCCAUAGGUUAAUGAGGCGAACCGGGGGAACUGAAACAUCUAAGUACCCCGAGGAAAAGAAAUCAACCGAGAUUCCCCCAGUAGCGGCGAGCGAACGGGGAGGAGCCCAGAGCCUGAAUCAGCAUGUGUGUUAGUGGAAGCGUCUGGAAAGGCGCGCGAUACAGGGUGACAGCCCCGUACACAAAAGCGCAUGUGCUGUGAGCUCGAUGAGUAGGGCGGGACACGUGGUAUCCUGUCUGAAUAUGGGGGGACCAUCCUCCAAGGCUAAAUACUCCUGACUGACCGAUAGUGAACCAGUACCGUGAGGGAAAGGCGAAAAGAACCCCGGCGAGGGGAGUGAAAAAGAACCUGAAACCGUGUACGUACAAGCAGUGGGAGCACAGGUUUACCUGUGUGACUGCGUACCUUUUGUAUAAUGGGUCAGCGACUUAUAUUCUGUAGCAAGGUUAACCGAAUAGGGGAGCCGGAGGGAAACCGAGUCUUAAUUGGGCGUUAAGUUGCAGGGUAUAGACCCGAAACCCGGUGAUCUAGCCAUGGGCAGGUUGAAGGUUGGGUAACACUAACUGGAGGACCGAACCGACUAAUGUUGAAAAAUUAGCGGAUGACCUGUGGCUGGGGGUGAAAGGCCAAUCAAACCGGGAGAUAGCUGGUUCUCCCCGAAAGCUAUUUAGGUAGCGCCUCGUGAAUUCAUCUCCGGGGGUAGAGCACUGUUUCGGCUAGGGGGCCAUCCCGGCUUACCAACCCGAUGCAAACUGCGAAUACCGGAGAAUGUUAUCACGGGAGACACACGGCGGGUGCUAACGUCCGUCGUGAAGAGGGAAACAACCCAGACCGCCAGCUAAGGUCCCAAAGUCAUGGUUAAGUGGGAAACGAUGUGGGAAGGCCCAGACAGCCAGGAUGUUGGCUUAGAAGCAGCCAUCAUUUAAAGAAAGCGUAAUAGCUCACUGGUCGAGUCGGCCUGCGCGGAAGAUGUAACGGGGCUAAACCAUG
rnacentral:rRNA from 1 species